CUGUUGAAGGGACAAGCGCUUGUGAUGAAUGUUUGAUAUCUGCCCAUCUUGCUUGAUAUGUAUCCCAGGAGGAAGACAGGAGACAACUUGAUCAGCUCAGCAGUCCCGCUGGCAUUUCUGUGGCCUCUGGAGCCAUAUUUCUCAAAGAACUUAAGGCCAUCUUUGCAAGGGAGGGUCACACUUGAUACUGCUUUGACAAGGAGCCUUUGGCCACGGCUAUAGGGCAGAGGAGGUUUUCCAACAGAAAAUGCCAAUUUGUCAUAAUUGAACCUUCUUGCAGUUUCUAAAGGAAACUCAGAAAAAAAAAAAAAAGGGCGCUUUCUAUUAGUAACAUUAGGCUAGAACUAGAGCAGCAAGCAAACCAUGGCACCAUCCUGCACGUCCUGUUUCACCACCAGUCCAAAGUCCCUCUGGACCAGGAAGGAACAGUGAACUGGAGCAUCCUGGGGCUGGGGACUUGACACAUGUGAAUGUUAUCUCUGUGAUAAAUUGCCAGGUGAUGAUGUGAUGAAUUGUGUUUAUCUUGAGCAGCUGAUGGCCCUGUCUGCUCUCCACUUACUGUGACAGGUGGUGUAGAGUACUCCCAUCCUCAGAACCACCUUCAGGCAGCAGCUGAGGGCUGCAGAAGCAACUGUAGGAUGGCUAAAGGCAUGUGGACUUGAGGAAGAAGUCUCCUGCAUUUUUGGGGGAGUUCACAGCAACAAAGCCCAGGGAGCAGCACACAACCUUGCUGCACCGGGAGGGGCUGUCUCUCAAAGACUAUAAGGGCUCCGGUAGGAGUACUGCACUGAGCUACAUCACCAAGAGACUUCAGCAGCAGGACAGAGACGUCUACCAUUGGCCCAACCUUCAGUCUACCUGCCUUGACUUGGAGAGGAGUUUUAGAGCCAUCAGAAAUGAACCCUCAAGAAGCAGACUUCAUCUCUCUGAAGCUGUCAGAGCUCUGAAGGCCUCAAUAGCCCUGACCAGCCUCACCUGGGCCCUCCACCCAGCCCACUGCUCCACCAGCUCCGUUUAAUCUCAGAUCUGAGCCUUCAGGUCUGACCGGAGCGAUGCUGUAGGUGUGCCUGUGUCAUUCCCCAGCAGCUGCUGCAGAGAGAGCCUCUGUAGCUUCUUUCCUUGGAGAUUUUUUUCAUCUGAGCUGUUGCUUUCUGUGUCAGACCCUUUUCAUCUCAGAUCUUUCUUUUGCUGAGCAGCCAGGCUGUGUUUCUGCCCUGGAUGUGUCUUUGCUCAGCUCUUCUCUGUGAAUGAGCUUGCGUUUGCUGGAGCCAGCGAAGCCCUUGGCUGGUACAGCUGAGGGAGUUUGCCCUCUGAGCACGACAGUCAGAAGGAUGGGAAUUUCUGAACUAAUUUGCUGUAAACAAUGAUCCAUAAUAGGUCACUUCUCCCUUCAGCAGCUCAGCGAUUAAAUCUAUCAGAGACAUGAAUGUAAUUGGACUGCUGGCAAUUAGCACUUGCAGGCGCUGGAGGAGUCUGGAGUGCUCUUCCAGUGGCUUCCAUUGCACCACCUUGGAUUUUAUUUGCCUUUUGGCUGUGCUUGUUCAGCCCAGGAGUCCUUUGCUCAAGGAUACCUGGACGCCCAAGGGUUUGAGGUGUGUAAAACUGAAGGCUGCUCGGUAAGGAGAAGGCACGGGGCAGCCUCACAGUGGUGGACCCUCGGGAGGAGAAGGUGGGCCGGGUCCGAGCCCUGCUUGGUGCUGAAGGCAGCCUGUCGGUGGCAGAGGCCAGCUGGUGGUGGGCCAAAGCAGGGCUGUAACCGGGGCCGUUGGUGUCUGUGCUGUGCCUCAGCUUCCCCUCAAAGGAGCAGGGGUCGCUUGGGAGCGAGGAGACCAAGCGGGAGCCAUUUGUGGCCUGGCACAUGUCAGGUGUCAGAGCAGGGCCGGGGACUGCAUCAUGGCAAGUGGCUGGGCUGUCCCUGUCCCCCCAGCCCUGGCAGAUGCGAUGGACAAACCACUGGAGGUCAGAGGCACAGAAAUGACAGCAGUCACUAAUAACUAUUGGAUUCAAGACGAUAAUUCAAGUAUGUGAACACCACCUGGGCAAUCACAGUGUGAGACGGACGUCCUCCUGGCAGGUAUGAAUGGGCUUUGAUCAUGCCUGUGGCUUCAUGACACCCAAGGAAGUAGGAUUUAUCUUGGGUUAAAAGGGGAAAAAGAACCUUGUUAGAAAAAAUACACCAGAUACCCCAGAGCUGGGACUAAAAAUGUAAUAAAUUUUAAAUUCUUGAAUGAAAAUGUUUCUAAUCCCAGGUCGGGAAGCAUGAAGAAGCUCUUUGAAUUCAAUCUACAGAGCAGAAACUUUGCCAAGAUCAGCUGUUGCCUAAAGAGUUUGGGUUGGGGCCAAAUUCGGAGGCCGGCUGCCUUCUUGCUGAGCAGGUCUCUGGGGACAGCCUCAGAGUGCCGAGCUGAGGCUUCCAAGAGUGGCCACUGAUGUUCGAGGCAGCUGAUGUUUGAGGCAGCUUGAACCAGUCACCUUGAAAAUCGGGGACUUUCAUAUCAUUUCCAGUUGGACCAUUAAGUAUCAAAGCCCAUAAAAUCAUUCAUCCUCUUCUGCUGUGGCCUCUUCAUUCUGCCUCCCCCUCUCCUUCAUGGUAAACUGUUUCAUCCAAUAGGGUUUGUCUGAGGUACUUUGGAUUUCAGCCACAUAUAUAUUAUUUUUAUCUAUCCUGCUAUUUUGCUGGGCUUCUGUACAUGCAGGAUCACUGUUUUAUCUGUAAUUUUAGCAGUGAGGAUGUGAAUUAGAGGAUUUUUAUUUCACUUGUGGCUUUCCAUCCACUAUUGUGUAUUAAA